GACCGCCCUCACUUUGACCAGGUUUAUUGGUGUUGCAAAUAUUGCACUUUGAACGUUUUGCCCAGUUGAUAUUUCCACACAUUGGACAAGGCCAGUCAUUAGGACCAAAAAGACCUGUAGAACCAGUGGCAGACCUACUGUGGGCCCCAGAGUUAUGGGCACUACGACCCCUCCCACGUCCACCAGCUCCCGAGCUCCCACCAGAGGCACCAGAAGGUCGAGCACUUCCACAUCGGUUGCACACACCUCGGAAAGCAAAAUUGACAUUGGAACAACUUGUAUUUGGACACAACCAGUCUCCCUCCUGUUGCCAUGCUUUCCCAGCAGCCUCACCCAUGCCUCUACCUCUUCCAACACCAACACCAUUCAUACCCCUAGCACUUUCUUCCAACCCACCAAAAUCACCACUAACAUUUGGAUCAGGCCCAGAGUUAUAUGUGUGGUCAUCUUUGCUUUUGGACUCUGCCAUAAAAACUCCAAUUAUAUUACCAUGAAAAUCCUUGUUGUUGAACCAUUCAACAGCAGCUUGAGCAGCAUGUGGAUCCUCAUAUGUAACCGUAGCAUCCCCCUUUGGCUCAUUUGUUAUUUUGUCGCGGUAAAACCAUAUCUUAGGUCCACCCGUUCGCUUGUCUUUCUUUAGCAAUCCAAUGGUACCAAAAUAUUCAGCCAACAUAUUCUCAUCAGUCCCCUGAGGCAAAUUACAAACAUAGACAGACCCAUUUGCAGAGGCUCCUUUUCCUGAAGAGGUUGCCAUUGUGCUCCAAUUUCAUCAAAUUACACAAACAGAACUGCUUCUCAGCUCUGGAAAUCACCAGCAGAGAAACAAAC
rnacentral:misc_RNA from 1 species